rnacentral:lncRNA from 1 species
GGUGGAUUGGGGUGGGAUGAUCGCUGAGGUUGGUCAUCAAGUUCAAAAUUUGGAGGCAAGGAGAGGAAAAGCUUCUUUGUGUGUCCUGUUCUCUCCUGCGUGAAAUUCGCAGGGAAAUGAUGACAAGAAAAGGCAUCACAAGACUGGGUUCUCUGCAGAUCGUGGGACAGUCGUGGGACCGUGUCACACGGGAAAACAUAGCGAGCUCAGGCUGAGUUCACCAAGCCCUCACAGAGACUGAGUACUACAGGGAACUGUAGCUCGUCGGGCUCCAGGGCGCGGGAGUGCUCCGCCCCAGGGCGCCACGACCUAGCCCAUUCCCGGAGUGCUUAUCUUUUCUGUCUUUUCCUUCCCCUUCUUGGGCGUCUGCUUUCCCGCCAGACAAAAGGCACAAAGAGGAUGUGUUUCCUCAACUCCUUUUCUAGGAGCUUUUUAUCCAGUUUCUUGUCCGCAGCCUCUCCCCCAGGCUGGAUGCCCAGGCGGUCUCCGGAGAGGAGGGGGAGGAGGAGGAGGAGGAGGAGGAGGAGGAGGAGGAGGAGGAGGAGGAGGAGGGGGGGGGGGGGGAGGAGGAGGAGAGGGGGGUAGGAAGGAAGAGGAGGGAGCCGAGGAAGACGCGGAGCCUCCACCCGCCAGCCGGGAGCACUUGCAGCAGGUGCAGGAGGCUGGGCCCCGGGUUUGCACCCUGCGGCGGUGCCUGGGCCUCAGGAAGCCGACCCGGGAAGACCCGCCAGCCCGAAAAAAGUGAGCUGGAGAGAGGAAUAGAAGCGCCGGUUUCUGCUUAUUAUUCGCUGUUUCUGAUGGCCAAGAGCAAGGGGCAGUCAAGGCCAUUAAUGCAGAACUGGAAUUCAGCGAGGAGCGCCUCUUCUGCAGACUGCCCCCCGCUAGGGCACGGGGAGGGCACCGGUUCCUCUGCGCGGAAAGGAGGGGGAGAAAGUCGCUAAGAGAAAAAUCCGGUGUGGCCCAGAUCUCCGGGUGCACAUUCCCGGGAGAGGAGCGCGCCGUUUCCAGCGCGGUGCAGCGCUCCGAGCGGCGGCCACCAGCGACCCAGCGCGCGAGCACAACGCGACCCACGAAGGGGGCUCGCGGGAGGCACCAAGAAGCACCGGCGCAUCAGAGCGGAGAACCCGCAGCCGAACCUUGCCGGGGCGCACCCAGCACCGGGGCGGGGGCCAGGACUUCGCUUCCACCGCAUGGGAUGAGCUGUGCAAGGUGGAGGAAGGCGGCGCAGAGCCGGGGGACGAAGCCCGGACCGGACAGGAAUCCCGGGGAGAAAGAAGGGGGCCCCAGCCUGGCCAGGAGGGGCAUUUUUGUCAGAGGGGGUAUUGGGGGAGUCCCUGAGCGCCGCGGGUUCCAGGGGGGCAGCGCGGACGCCCAUUCCCUGUUCUCCCCCGAGAGAAGCCGUUCCCGUGGGGCAGGAAGGGCUCUCAGCUCUUUGAGAUUGAGAUUCACAGGAAUCUAA